CCUACGGGUGGCAGCAGUGAGGAAUAUUGGUCAAUGGGCGCUAGCCUGAACCAGCCAAGUAGCGUGAAGGAUGACUGCCCUAUGGGUUGUAAACUUCUUUUAUAUGGGAAUAAAGUGCAGUAUGUAUACUGCUUUGCAUGUACCUUAUGAAUAAGGAUCGGCCAACUCCGUGCCAGCAGCCGCGCUAAUACGGAGGGUCCGAGGGUUACCCGGAUUUAUUGGGUGUAACGGGAGCGUAGGUGGGUUGUUAAGUAAGUUGUGAAAGUUUGCGGCUAAACCGUGAAAUUGCAUUUGAUACUGGCAGCCUUGAGUACAGUAGAGGUCGGAGGAAUGCGUGGUGUAGCGGUGAAAUGCUUAGAUAUCACGAAGAACUCCGAUUGCGAAGGCAGCCUGCUGGACUGUAACUGACGCUGAUGCUCGAAAGUGUGGGUAUCAAACAGGAUUAGAUACCCGAGUAGUC
rnacentral:rRNA from 1 species